rnacentral:hammerhead_ribozyme from 1 species
AUUCAGCUGAUGAGUUCCAAAUAGGAGGAAACGAUUAACCUGAAU